AUUGAACGCUGGCGGCAGGCCUAGCACAUGCAAGUCGAACGGUAACAGGAAACAGCUUGCUGUUUCGCUGACGAGUGGCGGACGGGUGAGUAAUGUCUGGGAAACUGCCUGAUGGAGGGGGAUAACUACUGGAAACGGUAGCUAAUACCGCAUAACGUCGCAAGACCAAAGAGGGGGACCUUCGGGCCUCUUGCCAUCGGAUGUGCCCAGAUGGGAUUAGCUAGUAGGUGGGGUAACGGCUCACCUAGGCGACGAUCCCUAGCUGGUCUGAGAGGAUGACCAGCCACACUGGAACUGAGACACGGUCCAGACUCCUACGGGAGGCAGCAGUGGGGAAUAUUGCACAAUGGGCGCAAGCCUGAUGCAGUAAUGCCGCGUGUAUGAAGAAGGCCUUCGGGUUGUAAAGUACUUUCAGCGGGGAGGAAGGGAGUAAAGUUAAUACCUUUACUCAUUGACGUUACCCGCAGAAGAAGCACCGGCUAACUCCGUG
rnacentral:rRNA from 1 species